rnacentral:lncRNA from 1 species
AUCCAGCCAUUUAAAAAAACUAGAGGCUCUAAAGAGCCUGUGUCGCUCACCUUGGUCUAUGUGCAUAUUAAACAAAGGACACAAAUGGAUUCAUGACAAAAUUGUAUUUUGGUGAUGGUGAUGUGUUUGAAGUUCUUACUUUACUGAACGAUUUUGCUUCUUACAAUUAUAUCUAUAAUGAACUUUGCCCAUUAGUAACAGAGAACUAUAUUUGGUAAAAAUUUACAUAAAUUUACCAAAUUAAUGAAAAUUGUUAAAAAUUGACUAUAAAGGGCAAUAACUCCUUAAGGAGUCAAUUGACCAUUUAGGUCAUGUUGACUUAUUUGUAGAUCUUACUUUGCUGAACAUUAUUGCUAUUUACAGUUUAUCGCUAUCUAUAAUAGUAUUCAAGAUAACCAAAAACGGCAAAAUUUCUUUAAAAAUUACCAAUUGGAGGGCAGCAACCAACAACCAGUUUGUCCAAUUCAUCUGAAAAAUUCAGGGCAGAUAGAUAUUGACUUGAUUAACAAUUUAACUUCUUGUCAGAUUUGCUCUAGAUGC